AACAACUAAAACCCUAACUAACAACAAAACUCUUGGAAUCAAAAACACCCGAAAAAGAUGAAAGUUACAAACACCCGAGAAAGGAACAACAGGGACAAAAAUCUAGUUGAAACACAAGAUGAAGAACAUGUUGAUUUACAAGACCGAAUUGGUAGGUCAAAAGAAUCUUAGAAGAAAAGAAGAAAGGAGGUUCGGAAAUCACCAGAAAAGACCCAACAAGAUCAUCAGAAUGAAUUUCAUAUUAUUUCCUCUGGAGAUGAUGACUGCUUAAUUGGAAUGAAAAGAAAGAAAAACAAAAGAAGCCCUUGCCGCAGAAGGGGGAUGGACAGUGGCUGCAUACCACAAGGGUAGGAAGAAAACAACAGACUCUGAAAGUGGUAUUGCCGUGGGAUCAGUUGCCCAAGCCGCUGUGGAGAAUAAAUUGGACAAAAAGAAACCUAAAGAAGUUGGUUUAGAUUUCUACUGUUUUAAAAAAAGAGAAGCUCAGAGAAACGGUAUAGCUUAUUUUUCAUAAUGUUUUGCCAUAUUUUUAUAUCCCAGGUAAUGCUUAACCAUUUUUUAUCAUAAAAGUUGUUUAUUUUUGUUAAAACAAUAGUUUUUGAAUUUAAACCAAUGAUGUUGGUUUAAAAUAAAAGAAAAGCAUAGUAUUAAUUAGUGGGGGUUCUAUCAAAAUUUGCACCGACAUGGAAAAGAUCUUAUAGCUGAUGUUAUUUGUGUUUCUUUUAGAAAUACAUCAACAAGUGAUAAACCUAAUUAAAGGUAUAGAUAGAUAUUGAAGAAUAAUGAAUCUGAUUAAAAGAAACAUCAAACAAAGACAUCAACAAUUCAGUCAGUUUGCAGAACAAGUGUCAAUCAGUUGCAUUACUUGUUCUGCAAACUGACUGAAUUGUUAGUUCUGCAACUGAUUGACAGCUCAGUGUAGUUAGUUAUACAGCUCCGCAUAGUUGGUUAGUUGACUUGUAACGAACUUUUCAGCUCAUAAUGAUUGUAAUCUAGCUAGAUGGUAGUUACAUAGAUUAGAUUCAUUGUUGUAUAUAAGUUUUAUCAAUGUACUCUUUGCAACUUAACAAGUUCAUUUUCCACAUUAUUUGCUUGUUCAUUUUCUAUUCUUAGUUUCUUCAUAAUAGUUAUGUGCAUUAGGGUAUCCUAUCUGUUCUGUGGUAUUCCUCGCUUCUCUUUCUAGUCUUUACACAGGCAAGUAAGGUUUAAGAUGUUCAUGAAUCCUAGGAACUGAUUCACAACCUGUCAUCCAGUAAAUUAAGAUGUUUCGCUCAAAAACACUAGCAAGUAAGGUUUCUGGAUGUUCAUGAAAUGAUUGUUAUCUGGUUCGUUGGAACACCGUCAAAAUUUUAUGAUUUUAUGUGAGACUCGUGCUUUACCCUUUUUCUUUUUCCUCAAACAAUAGAUGCUUUCUUAAACUAGUGCUUGUCAACAUUCAAAAUCGACUUUGAUUGAUGAUCAAACUGAAAUAAACCAUUCAUGCUUUGCUUGCAGAAAUAAUGGAAUUGCAGGGAAAAUUUGAGGAGGAUAAAAAACGUCUUCAACAGUUGAGAGCUGCCAGAAAAUUUAGACCUUAUUAAAUUAUGUUCAUAGCAGCCAAGGUUGACGGUUCUUUUCUUUGGGUGAAGAUUAUAUUUCUGAAGUCCUGCAGUUGAAAAUACUAUAGUCCUGAAAAUUUUAGCUUAUUUAUCAUUCCAAUUUUGUGGCAAAUAUUUGUAAAUGCAAAAUUUAAUUUGAAAAUAUUUGAAAAACUUGGAGGAUGUAGUUAUUUUAAUGAGUCAAUAAUAUGUCCUAAUCCUUAACUAUGGAGGAAGUAGUUAUUGAAUCCUUAAGGUAAAGUAAUUCCAGGUGUGGUGAUUUUAUAUCACAAAUACACAAUAUUUAAGCACGAUAACGUUACACAAUGACGUGAAGGUUCAGUCACCUCUGCUUAAUUGUAAAAUUAAUAAAGCACCACAUUUUGAGUUGAACAACACACACAUUGCGCUGAGGUUUCCUGCGUGAUGACCAAUGAACCAUAGGUUAAGGUUUGAAUUAUGUAUUGGCGAUUUCAUUCAAGAUUUUGCUUCACUUAAUACUUAUACUGUUAUACUGCACACGUAGGUUUGGGAACCAGAUCCUCUCAAAGUUCAUCGCUAGACUCUCACAAUUGCGUGAAUGUUAAAAUGUUCAGAGUGAAAAUUGUGUGUUCAACAAAUUAAAACGUUAAAAUGCAAUUUUUUGUCCUUUUUUCAAUCGUUA